rnacentral:rRNA from 1 species
UGGGGAAUCUUGGACAAUGGGCGCAAGCCUGAUCCAGCCAUGCCGCGUGGGUGAAGAAGGCCUUCGGGUUGUAAACCCCUUUCACCGGUGACGAUGAUGACGGUAGCCGGAGAAGAAGCCCCGGCUAACUCCGAGCCAGCAGCCGCGGUAAUACGGAGGGGGCGAGCGUUGUUCGGAAUUACUGGGCGUAAAGGGCGCGUAGGCGGCUGUUUAAGUCGAGGGUGAAAGCCCGGGGCUCAACCCCGGAACGGCCUUCGAGACUGGGCAGCUCGAGACCGGAAGAGGAGGGUGGAAUACCCAGUGUAGAGGUGAAAUUCGUAGAUAUUGGGUGGAACACCAGUGGCGAAAGCGGCUCUCUGGUCCGGAUCUGACGCUGAGGCGCGAAAGCGUGGGGAGCAAACAGGAUUAGAUACCCCGGUAGUCC